AGAAAGAAAAGAAGGAAGAAGCAAGAGGAAGAGAAGAAGUGGAAAAAGAAAUCGGAAAAGGCUUUCUUUCUUUCUUUCUUUCUUUCUUUCUUUCUUUCUUUUCUGUCUUU
rnacentral:ribozyme from 1 species